UGUGCCAAAAUCAAUUCAUUAAAAAAUAAAUAAAAAGGUGUUUAGAGAAGAGAAAAAAACUUUCAUGAGCUAGAUCCUCUUCUCCUCCAUAUACCCUUUGUCGUCUCUGAUCUUUUUCUUCUUCUCCACUGUGUCCCUUAACUCUUUCGAUCCAUCUUCUUUGUUCUCUCACUGUGUCGUCCCCUCUCUCUCCCUUUAUGUCAUUUUUUUUUGUCUAAGAGCUUCACGGUCAUUUGCACACCAUGUGUUUGAUGAAAUUACUGUGAUGGUGUGUGAUUGGAUAUUGAAAGGGAUCUAUCUUAAACAACAUUUUUGUUCUUCGUCGCUCUUGUUAUCUGUCGCUCUCACACAAUCGCGAUUUGCAAAAUUUGUUGGAGAUAGAGAUCCAAACUUUUGUUUGGAGAUAG